AUCCAGCUGACGAGACCCAAAUAGGACGAAACACGCGUCCUGGAU
rnacentral:hammerhead_ribozyme from 1 species